rnacentral:rRNA from 1 species
CGUAGGUGGCAAGCGUUGUCCGGAUUUAUUGGGUUUAAAGGGUGCGUAGGCGGUUCUAUAAGUCAGUGGUGAAAUCCGGCAGCUUAACUGUCGAUGUGCCAUUGAUACUGCAGAACUUGAGUACAGACGAGGUAGGCGGAAUUGACGGUGUAGCGGUGAAAUGCUUAGAUAUCGUCAAGAACACCGAUAGCGAAGGCAGCUUACUAGACUGUAACUGACGCUGAUGCACGAAAGUGUGGGGAUCAAACAGGAUUAGAUACCCUGGUAGUCCACACUGUAAACGAUGAUUACUCGAUGUUAGCGAUACACAGUUAGCGUCUUAGCGAAAGCGAUAAGUAAUCCACCUGGGGAGUACGCCGGCAACGGUG